rnacentral:lncRNA from 1 species
ACGAAUGAUACAGCCAUUAAACCAAGUUCAAUGAAGAAAAGAUGGUGCCUAGCUCAUCGACUGCUCCUGACACAUGCGCCAUGUUUUCAACAAGAUGAAAUUCCUUUCAUAUCUGCUCCAGACACAUGCGCCAUGGUGCCUAGUUCAGAUCUAGAUCUGGAAAAAAGGCCUCUCCCUCAUCCGUUUUUCAAACUAUUCUUCUAAAAUUCAUUCCUCAAAAUAAUUCAUCAAUGGUGUUCAACCAAUUGCGCUCAUCAAUCGACGGAUCUGGGUUGUGGUAAAGAAGAUGAUGAAGUUGAUUGUAUUUCGCCAACAAUUUGGACUACCGAUCUGGGUUGAUUUGAUUUCGAAUUAUUUUGAAUUUUGGAUCUGGAUUGUGAUGAAGAAGAAGAUGAUGGAUUAGUUUCAGAUUUUUGAUUUUAAAUUAUUUUUUAUUUGAAUUUGUGGUGAAGAAGAUGAUGAAUUAAAUUUGAAUUUGGAUUUGUGAUGAAGAAGAUGAUAAAUUCAGAUUUGGAUUUGUACCGGAGAAGAUGAUGAAUUAUAUUAGAUAAUUUUGUAUAUUUAAAGUUAACUUCAAAUAUUUAAAAAUUAAAAAAAUAGUAUGUAUUUAUUAAUUUUAUAUAAAUAUAUUUGUAAAAAUUAUAUAUUAAUAUAUUUUUU